rnacentral:misc_RNA from 1 species
UGAGGAGGUAAAACCAUGUACAAAUUCUUGACUUUCACAUUCUGAUGAAGUUUGUGGCACCGAAUAAACUGACCCGUGGUUGCUUCUCUCUUCAUACAAAGACAAGUUUGUUCUCUCAAUUUUUUUUGCACCUUUCUCAGCUAAAGGGAGCAUUGAAACAUCUGAAACACUUUCAGAACCUGUAUGACUAGUACUUAAAAUACCUUUUAGUUCCAUAUAACUCGGGGCAUGAUUAGGAUCACUAAGCAUACUUGGGAUGAGAGGCUUCUUAUGAUUAACUCGAUCACGCAUAAAUUCAAGAGCAAACUCCUCACCUGUCUGUAUGGAGUAAUUAAGUACAGGUUUAACUUCUGAUACAUUUAGGUCAGGAAGUCUCACAUUAGUACUUCUGCCGCUUGUAGGAUCUAGCAAGAAUGCUUGAGAUGCAGGAUGGAAUCCUUCACGUCCAGGUUCCCUGGAAUUGUAUUGAAAUUGUUUAUCUGAUUGUUCCAUUCCAAUAUUGUUUGGAUUCC